UGGUCCUAUAUGACCUACAGUGUCCGGCUUCAUCUCUCACCGUCUCUGUCAGCUGAUUAAUGGCGGUUUUCUUCUCUCCGGGGCGAGUCGGCCCGUCGUGUUUUCUUUGACUGAACUCGGCUGGUCGUCGCGUCACGGCCAAAGUUUUUAUGAGUCUGAGGUCCAACAGGCUUCAACAAUUUAGGAAUUUAGAUUCAAAACGAAGUCCCCCGACCUUUAAGGUCGAGCAGAUUCAGUCAGGAGAACGAUCACGUCGAUGCAGCUGAGCAGUGAUGAGUAAUAUAUGUGACUACGUCUGCCUCACGGGUUUGGGCUGAAUUUAGAAAAGACAGCAAAGACAAACAGCUAUUCAAAGACAUAAACAAACAAAAUAUUAACACAUAAAAUGUUCAAGACCACCAAUAAAGUUUUUAAUGGAUCAUAAAAAAAUGACAGAACGUUUAAAAAACAUCUAAAAAGAUCACAAAAGUUACAAAAUGACAUUAAAACUGACAGGUUAGAGUUUAUUUUUUAGUUGUGGCUGCAGAGCAGAUCAUCCACUGACUGGAAAGUUGGUGGUUCAAUCCCUGACUGCUCCAGUCUGUAUGCCAAAGUUGCUGCUGAUGCGUUCACAGGAGUCUGUUUCUAACUGUUCGUCUGGACUGAAAUCAUCUUUUAAAGCUCAGCCUUCGUUUAUUCACUGAGGACAAACUCAUAAGUUUCCUAAUGGAGCCAAAGAGUCUGCAGGCUCUCUGCAGCAGUUUAGCAACUAAUGAGCGACUGUCUGCAGGACAGAAGCUGUUCCACAGGAGCAGGUCCUCGAACUCAUCAACCCUGUUUCACUCAUGACGCUAACGCUGUGACUUAGAGAAAAGCAAAGAGCGUCUCUGGAUAAAAAUAGUUUUUGAUGCACGUAGAAUAACUUUAACUCUUUUCCCCUCAUUUCUGUUUAAUUUCAGGUCAGAAUAAAGUAACUGGGUGUGCAUCAGACAUCAGACCUGGAACCUGUUCUAAUGGCCGUCAAACCACGUCUUCAUUGGUCUGCAGGUGUUUCGAGCUUCUCCGUGAGGAGGAGCUAAAAUAUUGCUGACUGGCAGUGGAGGACGUUUCCUCCAUGUUCUGUGAGGAUCUGCCCGGUCCUCGCUUCCCUCCCCGUCACAUCCAUAUUAAUGCAGAAACACGGCGUGCAUGCGCAUCCCCGCGGGAGCCCACGGCACGCAUACUGCAGCUCGGAUCAGAAUCUCACCGAGCUUCAUUAAACCUUAAAGAAUUUGAACAGCUGUGGAGCAGCUGACAGGAAAACGUCCUCCCGUCUGACACGGGCACCCACGUUACAGACACACAGGAAACCUGCAGGAAAAUAACCUGCAACAAGUAAAAACACAAUAACAGCAUCAUUCAUUACUACAGGUCCAGACACGUCAUUAAAGUUAAACCUUAGAUCUGUGUAGUAUCGGCCUUUUUGUCCCAACAGCCUCUGUUAGUCCACAUAUUUGGUUUCAUCCUGAUCUCAUCAGUUUGUGAUGUUGGGAUUUCUGGUUUAGUGUUCAUGAGUGGACGCUGGGUCAGUGAAAUGGCUGGAAAACCUGCAACUGGUUUCCAGACUUCUUCAGUGGCAUCAGAACUACUGUGGGUGGCACGGUGGUGCAGCGGUCAGUGCUGUCGCCUCACAGCAAGAAGGCAAAGAGGGUUUGAACUCGUGUGUGGAGUUUGUUAGCCCUGCGGCAGGCCUGCCCAGGUGUGCUCCCACCGCCCGCCCUGUGACAGCCGGGGCGGGCUCCUGUGACCCUACAGGUCCUGUGACCGCCUCUGCUGUGCUCAGUUUAGUCAUAUUUCCUGCUGUAGCCAAAAGGACUUCAGGACUUUUGUGUGUCCAUAUUUGUAAGGAUGCAUUUGUUGGCUGCACCCAUGAAGAACUUGUCAAACAGAUUAUUCUGAUACUGAGUCUCGUUUGGAGUCGUUUGUUGGACUGGGUGAUCGAUCGGGACAUUUGAACAUGGGAGUCUAAGCUGACCGAGUCACUGCUGGAGCUUCUGCCGGACAUUAGAGGAACUGCAGCAACUGGAUUCAUCUUUCAGUCCCAGUUUUGUCCAUCUAUGUAUUUAAACUUAGUCAUUUUAUCUUAUUUUUUUAUGAUUUUUACCUUUUUCCACCAUUUGCGAAUGCCCGAGUCUAUACUUAGUUCAAAUCUAAGAAAAACUUGGGUGUAGUUUUGCCUCCAAGAUAAAAAUCUGUAAAGCUUAUUAGUAUUGUAGUUUUUAAUAUUUUUUCAGGAUGUUGGAGUAAAGUAACAGACAUCUGAAGAAAGUUAAUUCUGAUGUUGAAUUUGUCUUUUUGCGCACUUGUAAACAAGAAAGUUUUCAUGUAUAAUCUCCCAUAUUCACAUGUACAUUCAAAAAUGUUAACAUUUUUUUUUUUUACAUUUUAAUUGUUAAUGCAUUACGUCGCAGCUGGUAAAAUUAGGCAGAAUUGACCCAAAACUGCUGCUGAAAGGGUCCAAAUACUGAAGCUGCAGACACACGAGGGGAAUAAGUGGUUGGAGACAUGACCCAAAUUAUUGCACCUGUAUGUAAUGAUCUUGUGAUUAUGUUGCCUUUGAAAUGGUUUCUUCAGAGAUGUGGACCAUGUCUGCGACCACUCGCUGUCAGCUGCUGUCUUCAAAGCAACGUCAGUGUUUGAAGACAGUGGAAGUCAGACGCAGUCAGUUUGCUACCAACAGGCAACCUGUUUGUGAAAAUACAACAAUUAACUGUUUAAACUGGCGAAAACUGCAAACCUGAUGUCAUCUGUUGAUUCCAUCACAAACAGUGAUGUAGUUGCAACAGGACAGCAAUUUCAUUGCUAACUUACACGUGUGGCCGGCAACCUGGCUUUUAUACAGAAAUAUAACCAGAACACAAGCACAUGAGACACGUCGCAGGAGUCGUGCUCAUCAGCACAGACUGACUCAGACUGAUUGCAACAUGUUGCCAAUCUGUUUGGAAAUUAGUCAGCAAUUAUUUGCAAUCUAAAAGUGAUUGCCAGCAGUCAGAGGUGACUGUGAUUGUUUGGAGACAGGUUGCCUCCCACCACACAGUCUGUGCUCCCAUUGGUUACGUUUAUUGCUCAACUUUUGGAUGACCAGUUGGUCACUGCAACUGCUUCCAAUCAGUAAAUACAUUCAGUUCAUCCACCGGGCAACUAUUGAUAUUUCCCAGACAGAAGAAGGUUGCCGAUGUUGUUAUUCAUCAGCAAGAAUAUUCUGUCAUUAAAGCAUCAGAAGAUCUGAAGAUCUUACGCCGAAUGCUGCAAAAAAUCAGUUAAACAAAAGGUCAUUACUGAGAAUAUUUCCUUAAUGUGUCCGCCUGACGCAUGAAAACCAGAUUUAUUUUCAUCCUGUGAUGUUCAUCAGAUAUUUUAAAGACUUAACGGUCCAUAUAAAAUCAAAUCCAGGUCGUUUUGAGGGUUUUGGCAGCAUGAAUUAUCCAAAUGACUUCUUCAGCAGGAUACGCAGUCAACCUUCUUCCUCCUCCCCCCUUCCUCUUCCUCCUGAACCUCUUUGUCUCAGUCAAUAUAAACUGAGAGCUGAGACAUGUGGCAGCUCAGGGACUCUCCUUCAUUAAUAAUGAAAACACUGCAAACCCGGCUCCAUCAUCUCAAACUCAGCAAGCCAGAUUAAAACCACAGCACACAAUCAUUUUCAAACAGUUGUCGUUUUAUUUAAUACUCUUCAUCAUUUUAGCAAUCUUUUAUUUAUUUAUUCAUCUUUUAAUAUCUCAGUAGGCCUAUAAUCUGUAAAGUCUGGGAUAGAUUAUCUAUAAUAGAGUUUUUAUUUUCUUAAAAUCCUUUUUCAUAUACAUUUUCUCUUCUUAGAUGAUUUUCAUAAGAUAUUUUUUUAAACUCUUUUUGCAACAUCCCCAUAAACAAACAAAGAGACA